rnacentral:rRNA from 1 species
CAAACGGGUUGAAAUACACGUGGGAACGUACCCUUUGGUUCGGAAUACCUCAGGGAAACUUGAGCUAAUACCGGAUACGCCCUUUUGGGGAAAGGUUUACUGCCGAAGGAUCGGCCCGCGUCUGAUUAGCUAGUUGGUGGGGUAACGGCCUACCAAGGCGACGAUCAGUAGCUGGUCUGAGAGGAUGAUCAGCCACACUGGGACUGAGACACGGCCCAGACUCCUACGGGAGGCAGCAGUGGGGAAUAUUGGACAAUGGGCGCAAGCCUGAUCCAGCCAUGCCGCGUGAGUGAUGAAGGCCUUAGGGUUGUAAAGCUCUUUUGUCCGGGACGAUAUGACGGUACCGGAAGAAUAAGCCCCGGCUAACUUCGUGCCAGCAGCCGCGGUAAUACGAAGGGGGCUAGCGUUGCUCGGAAUCACUGGGCGUAAAGGGCGCGUAGGCGGCCAUUUAAGUCGGGGGUGAAAGCCUGUGGCUCAACCACAGAAUUGCCUUCGAUAU